GACGAACGCUGGCGGCGUGGAUUAGGCAUGCAAGUCGAACGGUAUCAUCCUUUCGGGGGUGAGAGAGUGGCGAACUGGUGAGUAACACGUAGGUUAUCUACCCUCAAGACGGGGACAACCCAGGGAAACUUGGGCUAAUACCGGAUGUGAGCAACUUUUAGUUGUUUGAAAGGUGGCGUAAGCUGUCGCUUGGGGAUGAGCCUGCGUCCUAUUAGUUAGUUGGUGAGGUAACGGCUCACCUAGGCAAUGAUAGGUAGGCGGCCUUAACGGGUGGUCGCCCACACUGGGAUUGAGAUACGGCCCAGACUCCUACGGGAGGCAGCAGUCGAGAAUAGUCUACAAUGGUCGGAAGACUGAUAGUGCGACGCCGCGUGAACGAUGAAUCCCUUCGGGGUGUAAAGUUCUUUUAUAUGUGAGCAGUGCUUCUUAUAUUAACAGUAUGGGGAAGAGAUAUUAGCAUAUGAAUAAGCAACGGCUAAACUCCGUGCCCAGCAGCCGCGGUAAU
rnacentral:rRNA from 1 species